rnacentral:rRNA from 1 species
AUUGAACGCUGGCGGCGUGCUUAACACAUGCAAGUCGAUCGGUAACAGGUGUAGCAAUACAUGCUGACGAGAGGCGGACGGGUGAGGAACGCUUGGGAAUCUGCCUAUCAGCGGGGGACAACCCGGGGAAACCCGGGCUAAUACCGCAUACGCUCUACGGAGGAAAGCCGGGGACCGCAAGGCCUGGCACUGAUAGAUGAGCCCAAGUCGGAUUAGCUAGCUGGCGGGGUAACGGCCCACCAAGGCGACGAUCCGUAGCUGGUCGGAGAGGACGAUCAGCAACACCGGAACUGAGACACGGUCCGGACUCCUACGGGAGGCAGCAGUGGGGAAUAUUGGACAAUGGGCGAAAGCCUGAUCCAGCGACGCCGCGUGGGUGAAGAAGGCCUGCGGGUUGUAAAGCCCUUUCGGUAGGGACGAAAGCUCUCGACCUAACACGUCGGGAGGUUGACUUAACCUACAAAAGAAGCACCGGCUAACUCUGUGCCAGCAGCCGCCGUAACAC